rnacentral:rRNA from 1 species
UAGUAACGGCGAGUGAAGCGGUAAAAGCUCAAAUUUGAAAUCUUCGGAAUUGUAAUUUGAUGGAUAAAAUUGCCACGGACAAAAGUUCACUGGAAAGUGACGCCGUAGAGGGUGAUAGCCCCGUUUACGUCCACCGGCACUAUAAUUUUAUUCCAAAGAGUCGGGUUGUUUGGGAAUGCAGCUCAAAGUGGGUGGUAAAUUCCAUCUAAAGCUAAAUAUUGACGAGAGACCGAUAGCGAACAAGUACAGUGAUGGAAAGAUGAAAAGAACUUUGAAAAGAGAGUGAAACAGUACGUGAAAUUGUUGAAAGGGAAGGGGAGGGAAGAUGUUAAAGGGACUCCUUCUUUAGUAGGGAUCCCCCCAAGAGUCUUUCCUCUCGC